rnacentral:tRNA from 1 species
GGAUUGUGGCUCAGUGGUAGAGUGCUAGCCUAGCAUGCAUGGGGCCCUGGGUUUGAACCUCAGCACCA